rnacentral:ncRNA from 1 species
GGCAGCGACGUAAAAGCUUUUAAGUCUUUGUCUUGAGGACGUGCGAAAAACCGAACCCGACCCGUCUCUGUAACCUGCGGGUACCUGUCACUCGCACGGGUGACAUCGGCCAACUCAGCUGGAUUUCGGGGCAGCUUGCGGGCAUAUGCUCACGCCAACACAGCCCCAACGCAUGUCGGCCCCCGGCCGGGAGUGAAGAUCCCGAACGAGGGCCUGACCACCAAGGAAGAAGCACCUUCCCG